UAUAAUGAAUUAAAAAAAGUGGUUAAUUGUGAUGGACGAGUCCGACCUUAUAUAUUAUAUUUAUCGUUUUAAUAUUAUAAACGUAGAAUUAUAAUAUAUUAUGGUGAUAGUGGCAAUUCGUAUUAUUGGUGUAAUUAAUCAAAAAUAACAGUGAACUAUAUACAGCUCAAUUUGACCAGCAAUUUAUGCAAAUUCAUAUUGCUUUCUACUGUGGUAAUUGGUAGAAUUUAUAUAAUUAAUCAAAGAAUACAUUGAACUAUAUGACUAAAUAGCUCAAUUUGACCAGCAAUUAAUGCAUAUUCACAUUGUAUGCUACUAGUAUCUUUUAAAUAAACUAAACAAUCUAUUAUGAUACUCUCAGUGGUGUUUUGGCAAAAAAAGUAGAGGGUAUACGCGUAUUUAAGGAUUUAUAACAAUGACUAUUGAAAGUGUGCUCCUAAUAGCCAUAAUACAGUAUACAACUACAUACUAUACAAACAGUACACUGAACGACGACGAAAACAAAACUGGGUAUAAAGUGUAAAAAUAUCGGUUCUUAUGAGAAAAAAAACGGUUUCAAACAUGUACGAUAUGAAGUGUCGCUUAUUACGUGGGUUACAUUAGAUAACAUUAGCUCGAUUAAAGUUCACGAUUAAGAUAAUUGUCAUUUGUAAUCGUUUUCCCUAUACACAAAAACAAGUGAUAUUAUUGUAAAUUAUACUUAUAUUUUAUGUUUCUGAUGAUUAUUUCUAAUCACAAUAACCGAAAACCUGAACACUGUAAGCAACGAAAAAUGCACUUAUAACGGCUGUUUGUUCCGUUCCUGGCAUUUUUGAUCACUAUAAGCGGCUUGUUCUUAUAAACAGUGAACACUAUAAGCGGCGACCACUGUAGUAUUAUAUGUGUAUAUUUAUUACU